AACGCGAAGAACCUUACCUGGGCUCGAAAUGUUACGGACCAGCCUGUGAAAGCAGGCCUUCCCGCAAGGGACCGUAGUAUAGGUGCUGCAUGGCUGUCGUCAGCUCGUGUCGUGAGAUGUUGGGUUAAGUCCCGCAACGAGCGCAACCCUUGUCCUGUGUUGCCAUACCGAAAGGUGGAACUCGCAGGAGACCGCCAGGGAUAACCUGGAGGAAGGUGGGGAUGACGUCAAGUCCUCAUGGCCUUUAUGUCCAGGGCUACACACGUGCUACAAUGGACGGUACAAAGGGCUGCCAACCCGCGAGGGGGAGCCAAUCCCAAAAAACCGUUCUCAGUUCGGAUUGCAGGCUGCAACUCGCCUGCAUGAAGCUGGAAUCGCUAGUAAUGGCGGAUCAGAACGCCGCCGUGAAUACGUUCCCGGGCCUUGUA
rnacentral:rRNA from 1 species